CCUACGGGUGGCAGCAGUGGGGAAUUUUCGGCAAUGGGCGCAAGCCUGACCCAGCAACGCCGCGUGAAGGAAGAAGGCUUUCGGGUUGUAAACUUCUUUUCUGAGGGACGAAGAAAGUGAUGGUACCUCAGGAAUAAGUCACGGCUAACUACGUGCCAGCAGCCGCGGUAAUACGUAGGUGGCAAGCGUUAUCCGGAUUUAUUGGGUGUAAAGGGCGUGUAGGAGGGAAAGCAAGUCAGAUGUGAAAACUCAGGGCUCAACCCUGGGCGUGCAUAAGAAACUGUUUUUCUUGAGUGCUGGAGAGGCAAUCGGAAUUACGUGUGUAGCGGUGAAAUGCGUAGAUAUACGGAGGAACACCAGUGGCGAAGGCGGAUUGCUGGGCAGUAACUGACACUGAGGCGCGAAAGCGUGGGGAGCAAACAGGAUUAGAUACCCCAGUAGUC
rnacentral:rRNA from 1 species